CCUGACUGCUAUCGGAUUGAUACUAAGCCAUGCGAGUCAUUGUAGCAAUACAAGGCAGACGGCUCAGUAACGCGUAGUCAAUCUACCCUAUGGACGGGAAUAACCUCGGGAAACUGAGAAUAAUGCCCGAUAGAACAUUAUACCUGGAGCGGUUUAUGUUUCAAAUGAUUUAUCGCCGUAGGAUGGGACUGCGGCCUAUCAGUUUGUUGGUGAGGUAAUGGCCCACCAAGACUAUUACAGGUACGGGCUCUGAGAGGAGUAGCCCGGAGAUGGGUACUGAGACACGGACCCAGGCCCUAUGGGGCGCAGCAGGCGAGAAAACUUUGCAAUGUGCGAAAGCACGACAAGGUUAAUCCGAGUGGUUUCUGCUAAAGAAACCUUUUGCUAGUCCUAGAAACACUAGUGAAUAAGGGGUGGGCAAGUUCUGGUGU
rnacentral:rRNA from 1 species